rfam:Populus trichocarpa isolate Nisqually-1 chromosome 13, whole genome shotgun sequence.
UUUAUAACUCGAGAUAUAGGCUGAACAUUGAACAGUGUCUAGGCUACAAGAUAUAUUUUGACUUCUCUUUUGUUGCUACAAUUUGAACUUGAAAACGACCCUUUUGAAUCUUGGACUCUUCAUGAAAGUUUUAGGCCUAUGUCUUAGCUUUUAAU